GGGCGGGUGCUGUAAUUGGUAGCCAGCUUGGACUGAGGCUCCAAGGGGAUAUUCUCCCGUGAGGGUUCAAAUCCCUCCCCGCUCA
rnacentral:tRNA from 1 species